UGAGGAAUAUUGGUCAAUGGGCGCGAGCCUGAACCAGCCAAGUAGCGUGCAGGAUGACGGCCCUAUGGGUUGUAAACUGCUUUUGUAUGGGGAUAAAGUCAAUCACGUGUGAUUGUUUGCAGGUACCAUACGAAUAAGGACCGGCUAAUUCCGUGCCAGCAGCCGCGGUAAUACGGAAGGUCCGGGCGUUAUCCGGAUUUAUUGGGUUUAAAGGGAGCGUAGGCCGGAGAUUAAGUGUGUUGUGAAAUGUAGACGCUCAACGUCUGACUUGCAGCGCAUACUGGUUUCCUUGAGUACGCACAACGUUGGCGGAAUUCGUCGUGUAGCGGUGAAAUGCUUAGAUAUGACGAAGAACUCCGAUUGCGAAGGCAGCUGACGGGAGCGCAACUGACGCUUAAGCUCGAAGGUGCGGGUAUCGAACAGGANUAGAUACCCUGGUAGUCCGCACAGUANCGAUGGAUGCCCGCUGUUGGUACCUGGUAUCAGCGGCUAANCGAAAGCAUUAAGCAUCCCACCUGGGGAGUACGCCGGNNCGGU
rnacentral:rRNA from 1 species